rnacentral:tRNA from 4 species
GGGCCCAUAGCUCAGUUGGUUAGAGCAGUCGACUCAUAAUCGAUUGGUCGCUGGUUCAAGUCCAGCUGGGCCCACCA